GUGGAACUUGGUCAUCGAGUGUCUGGAACUAUAAGUCGGACACCUCGACCUUGCGAACACCGGUAAAACCACACAAACAUCUGCUUCUUUCCAUGACAAGCCAGGAGAGCGCUGUUCGGUAGGAUUGUUCGUACGAACAAGGCGAACAAGCCAGGGUAACUGUUCGACAGUUUGUUCGUAUAGAACUCCUGAAAGUGACCGACCGUUACCACUAU